rnacentral:rRNA from 1 species
AUUGAACGCUGGCGGCAGGCUUAACACAUGCAAGUCGAGCGGGGUGAUGGUGCUUGCACUAUCACUUAGCGGCGGACGGGUGAGUAAUGCUUAGGAAUCUGCCUAUUAGUGGGGGACAACAUCUCGAAAGGGAUGCUAAUACCGCAUACGUCCUACGGGAGAAAGCAGGGGAUCACUUGUGACCUUGCGCUAAUAGAUGAGCCUAAGUCGGCUUAGCUAGUUGGUGGGGUAAAGGCCUACCAAGGCGACGAUCUGUAGCGGGUCUGAGAGGAUGAUCCGCCACACUGGGCCUGAGACACGGCCCAGACUCCUACGGGAGGCAGCAGUGGGGAAUAUUGGACAAUGGGGGGAACCCUGAUCUAGCCAUGCCGCGUGUGUGAAGAAGGCCUUAUGGUUGUAAAGCACUUUAAGCGAGGAGGAGGCUCUUUUGGUUAAUACCCAAGAUGAGUGGACGUUACUCGCAGAAUAAGCCCCGGCUAACUCUGAGCCAGCCGCCGCGGUAA